GCUGCCGAUAGUGGGAAGACUCUGCGUUUCAACACACACACACCGGACAGAGAAUCCGGGGCCAGCGAUUAGACAAGUCUGAUUGUGAAGCGACAUCACCUGCUGCUCGGUGUGGAUCAUCACAGAAAUGGAUGUCAAAUAACGAUGACAACACAUAAGUCCACUUCAGCACCAACCAUUAUUCUGAACCAUUUCAAGUCCAGUGUGAUGUCCAUUGGUCAUGUGUAUGCCGAUCUACCAACCAAUCCAAAUGUAACUGUUUUUGGCCAAUGUCAGAGCAACCUACCUAGGUGGAAAUACAUUUUUCAGCAUGGGUUUACAACUAACCCAUGGGUAUCGGAGUAGUUCCACAUCCACCAGAUGCUCCAAUAACCGACCUUAUCAUCACACACUUAAGCAGUAUUUCACACAAUGAUCUUCAAAGGUAUUUUCCCAAUCUUUUUCCAAAACUACUUAUCUGGUACAACAUCAUUCAUGCCUAUCCAAGGCUCAUCAAUGUAUCUGGGUGGCCACGAAUCAGCAGCUUGUUGGCACACUCAACCUUGAUCAUGAGUUAAGGAGAUAUUCUUAGUCUGACAAUGAAGCUAAUAGUGAAUGCCCAUACCUUAAUUGGAGGCACAACAUGGAACCUGACUUUUGUGACAAUUGUGCUGGCAGAUCAUGACUAUAUCAACAACAUUUCGAUACAGAACCAACUUGUCCGCAAGGACAUCCCAUAUGACAUAACCUCCUCACAGAUGGUUUGUUAACAAGUACUUGUGUUAUGUACACAGUUCUUCCGGCAAGUCCCGCUGGAGGACGCAUGGAUCAUUCUUAUGUGGGACAUGAUGUCAAGGAAGCUUCAUGUACUAGACCCGCUAAUUAGAGGCACGAGUUCAUUGCGUGGAAGCUGUACCAUGCUAUGUUUCAUCGCUUAAGCGAGUAUUAUGUUGGGUGGCCUACACAAGAUGGACAGUGGCAGACCUACUACUCGGUUGUAGCCCAGGAAACAUUUGGCAGGGAUGAAACAUGUGCAUGUGCCCUUCACAUAGCACGUCACUACGAUGGUACCAAGCUCAAGACCCCCCUCACGAAGAGGGAGUACCACUCACUGAAAACAUGCUUACAUUAACAGCACAAUGUCGGCAAGACCAAAAGUCAGGCACUACACGAAUGCCUGAAACUAAAAGGAAAUUCUUCAAAAUUGGCGCAUGACGCUCUGUGGGUGGUUCUAACUCCAUCUGAUUCCUGGGUUGGCUCGAACCAGUCGGGUUAGGGCCAGCUAACCGUGCAAGAUUUCAUUUUCCCUUUUCUGAAACAUCAUCCCAUGCCUAAUUAUGUACAUCAUAUUAUGUGCUAUGAAGCCUGACAUCCUGUAAGGAUUUACUGUUUGCUAAAUGGACGCAUUUCGUGGGACAGAUUUACUUGCAUCAUAGUGGACGCAUUUGUAGAAGUGAUGCCCGACCCAUUUUUGAUAGAGG